ACGAACGCUGGCGGCGCGCCUAACACCUGCAAGUCGAACGGAGCUGAGAGAAGCUUGCUUUUCUUAGCUUAGUGGCGAACGGGUGAGUAACGCGUGAGUAACCUGCCCUGGAGUGGGGGACAACAGUUGGAAACGACUGCUAAUACCGCAUAAGCCCACGAUCCGGCAUCGGAUUGAGGGAAAAGGAUUUAUUCGCUUCAGGAUGGACUCGCGUCCAAUUAGCUAGUUGGUGAGGUAACGGCCCACCAAGGCGACGAUUGGUAGCCGGACUGAGAGGUUGAACGGCCACAUUGGGACUGAGACACGGCCCAGACUCCUACGGGAAGCAGCAGUGGGGGAUAUUGCACAAUGGGGGAAACCCUGAUGCAGCGACGCCGCGUGGAGGAAGAAGGUUUUCGGAUUGUAAACUCCUGUCGUUAGGGACGAUAAUGACGGUACCUAACAAGAAAGCACCGGCUAACUACGUG
rnacentral:rRNA from 1 species